GACGAACGCUGGCGGCGUGCUUAACACAUGCAAGUCGAACGGAAAGGCCCUGCUUUUGUGGGGUGCUCUAGUGGCGAACGGAUGAGUAACACGUGAGUAACCUGCCCUUGACUUUGGGAUAACUUCAGGAAACUGGGGCUAAUACCUGAUAGGAGCUCCUGCUGCAUGGUGGGGGUUGGAAAGUUUCGGCGGUUGGGGAUGGACUCGCGGCUUAUCAGCUUGUUGGUGGGGUAGUGGCUUACCAAGGCUUUGACGGGUAGCCGGCCUGAGAGGGUGACCGGCCACAUUGGGACAGAGAUACGGCCCAGACUCCUACGGGAGACAGCAGUGGGGAAUAUUGCACAAUGGGCGGAAGCCUGAUGCAGCAACGCCGCGUGCGGGAUGACGGCCUUCGGGUUGUAAACCGCUUUCGCCUGUGACGAAGCGUGAGUGACGGUAAUGGGUAAAGAAGCACCGGCUAACUACGUG
rnacentral:rRNA from 1 species